rnacentral:tRNA from 1 species
GGUCGAUUAGCUCAGUUGGUUAGAGCGUGGUGCUAAUAUCUCGCCUCAAGCGAGGGAGACGCCAAGGUCGCGGGUUCGACCCCCGUAUUGACCA